AAACAGCUAACAUUCCAGGACAAUGGGCAUGCCUAGGUAAGUCUUGGUUCUUAAACCAUUGUCUAAUAUAAGGAACCUAAGCUCUUCAAGAAGAGCUGACUUUGGUACGGAGACACAUAAGAUUUAGAAUGAGCCUGGAGCCUCUGGACGGCGCAGACAGUAAGGAAUCGUUCACACUGAAACGCAGUGGUGGGACACUCAAAGAGACAGCAGACAGAUGGCAGAGCUCCCUGUGGCCAAAGCUGGGGCAAUCUCAAACAAAGCCAGGAAUUGAGUAUAUCCUAGAGUAUAAGAUAAAGGGAAACAGAAAAACCUUUAUUUUGAGCAUUUUACCCCACUGAAAAUCCCCUCUGAGGAAUUUCAGUUUAAUCUUGAAAGUUUUAACAAGAUAUGUUUGUCGAAGUCUGUUGGGUUUUGAGCCUAAUGAGCCUUACAUGAAAUAUUUACAAUGAACAUUUUAUUGCUUCUCACUAAGACACACAAAGAAAAAAUGAUUGUAGGUAUCAAAAUGUUCGUCUGUUUCUAAAACUGAAAGAAAUACAGAGGAACUUUUUUUUUAAGACAGGAGAUUACCAUUUCAAACAUCAGGCAUGAAACCAAAGGUUUGUCCUUCUGCCAAGUUAAAGACAAAAUCCAGCUUUAGUGUGUUGUUUCAAAUGUUGCUUAGUUUUCCCUUUCACCUUAAUGAAUUAGAGCAAAUAACAUCAACUUGUAAAUGUUGUUUAAUGUGACUGUUUAAUACUUGUUUAAUAGAACUGCUGUGUGGGUAGAACUGGUCUGCACAAUAAACACCUGGACCUUUUACCAACCUCAUUUCUGACGGCAUGCACUUUGACCCUGCUGGCCAAGAUAUAAGUGACCCCAUUACAUCCCAUGUAGCUAAAUACCCAUCCUUUGCUUUCUACUGGGCUUCCGGUAAGAAAGAUUCUGACAGCAUGUAUUACAUUCGGAUUGAGAAGGCUCUGUGCCAGCCCGAGUUAAGAAUUCCACCACCACCAUCCUCUAGAAGCUAGGGUUUCCCAUAAUGCCCUCCACCUCACACCCUCUUGUGUGUCUCCAGAGCUCCCACACAGAGUGACACAUCAGGUGGGUUAUGGCUCUGUCAUAUGUUCUGCCCGCCAACUGUGACUCUCUUUUCUACAGUGUGUUAUGAGGCCCCAUACUGAAUAUUUAUCUACGCCACCUUCUCUCCUAGACUCCUUUAUCAUUUGACAUAUUUUUCUAUACAGCAAAACAUAAAGGUACAAAUGGGAAUAUUUACUUCAUAUUACAGUUCUAAGUAGAAAUUGCUAUCUUAUAUGCAAUUAAUUGUUCGUAGGUGAUUUGGUAGCCUAACCUACCUUGGUGUGCAUGUGUUUGCAGUUCUAGAAGGUUGAACCCAGAGUUUCACACAUGCUACACACAUCUGUAAUACCGAGUUACGAGUCCAGACUCUAAAUAAGAUAUGGAGUGCUUCUGGUUGAAAUUAACUUUUUUGUCUCUUAGUUUCUGAUGAGCUCACACUAUACUUCUGGAAUAAAAUGUAAUCGUCCAGAACACCCUGGUUCCUAAAGGUGCUUGAUCUAUAGCAUCAUAAUUAUACCUAAAGCCCCACAUGGACUUGCUAAGUUGCUAGAUCUGGGUCUUCAUAAAUAUAGAUAAAUAGAUAUAAACAGGUUAUGGGUGUAGCUCAGUUGGUAGAGCAUUUACCUAGCAUGCAAGCUCUUGAUUUAAUCCUCAAAACCUGAAUGUGAUGUUCCAUCCCAGCCUACAAGAGGUGGAGGCAGAAGGAAGGACCAAGGUGCAAGGUUUGUCUUGUUGAAAAAACACAUGACAUUCCUAUUUUAAAAU
rnacentral:lncRNA from 1 species